rnacentral:rRNA from 1 species
GACGAACGCUGGCGGCGUGCUUAACACAUGCAAGUCGAACGGAAAGGCCCCUUUGGGGGUACUCGAGUGGCGAACGGGUGCGUAACACGUGAGUAACCUGCCCUUGACUUCGGGUUAACUUCAGGAAACUGGGGCUAAUACCGGAUAGGAAUCCUUGCUGCAUGGUUGGGGUUGGAAAGCUUCGGGGGUUUUGGAUGGACUCGCGGCUUAUCAGCUUGUUUGUGGGGUAGUGGCUUACCAAGGCUUUGACGGGUAGCCGGCCUGAGAGGGCGACCGGCCACAUUGGGACUGAGAUACGGCCCAGACUCCUAAGGGAGGCAGCAGUGGGGAAUAUUGCAAAAAGGGCGGAAGCCUGAUGCAGCAACGCCGCGUGCGGGAUGACGGCCUUCGGGUUGUAAACCGCUUACAGCAGGGGAGAAGCUUGUGGUGACGGUAACUGCAGAAGAAGCACCGGCUAACUACGUG